GUUUCAAAAUAUGAAUUUUGGGAGUACACAAACGCAUCCACUAUUGCUACCCCUUCACUUUGAGAGUAUCUGCCAAACCAAGAUUACUGAAGCUGCAAUUCUCAAGAACAUGGCCUGCUCAAGAUUACCUUUUCAGGGAGAAAAAAAAAAAAAAAACGACUAAAAUUGGAAGAGCAGAGAAGGAACUGCCUUGAGUUGGGUUGAGACCCCACAAACUCUGAGAUGACAGCAAAGGAGCCAUGGAAAACAAGGAAACUAUCCCACUCUCCAAGCCCCUGCCAGAGAACUUUAACUAAAAACAGUCUCUUUAGAACAACUACUGACAAUACCACCCUGGACUGAAAACCACUGACCUUCAGGAAAACUCAGUAAUAAAAUUCCUCAAGUUAAAGUCCCAGAAA
rnacentral:antisense_RNA from 1 species